rnacentral:rRNA from 1 species
AGGAAUAUUGGUCAAUGGACGUAAGUCUGAACCAGCCAAGUCGCGUGAGGGAAGACUGCCCUAUGGGUUGUAAACCUCUUUUAUAAGGGAAGAAUAAGUUCUACGUGUAGAAUGAUGCCUGUACCUUAUGAAUAAGCAUCGGCUAACUCCGUGCCAGCAGCCGCGGUAAUACGGAGGAUGCGAGCGUUAUCCGGAUUUAUUGGGUUUAAAGGGUGCGUAGGCGGUUUAUUAAGUUAGUGGUUAAAUAUUUGAGCUAAACUCAAUUGUGCCAUUAAUACUGGUAAACUGGAGUACAGACGAGGUAGGCGGAAUAAGUUAAGUAGCGGUGAAAUGCAUAGAUAUAACUUAGAACUCCGAUAGCGAAGGCAGCUUACCAGACUGUAACUGACGCUGAUGCACGAGAGCGUGGGUAGCGAACAGGAUUAGAUACCCUGGUAGUCCACGCCGUAAACGAUGCUCACUGGUUCUGUGCGAUAUAUUGUACAGGAUUAAGCGAAAGUAUUAAGUGAGCCACCUGGGGAGUACGUCGGCAACGAUGAAACUCAAAGGAAUUGACGGGGGCCCGCACAAGCGGAGGAACAUGUGGUUUAAUUCGAUGAUACGCGAGGAACCUUACCUGGGUUUAAAUGGGAAAUGCCGUAUUUGGAAACAGAUAUUCUCUUCGGAGCGUUUUUCAAGGUGCUGCAUGGUUGUCGUCAGCUCGUGCCGUGAGGUGUCGGGUUAAGUCCCAUAACGAGCGCAACCCUUACCGUUAGUUGCUAGCAUGUAAUGAUGAGCACUCUAACGGGACUGCCACCGUAAGGUGAGAGGAAGGCGGGGAUGACGUCAAAUCAGCACGGCCCUUACACCCAGGGCUACACACGUGUUACAAUGGCCGGUACAGAGGGCUGCUACCAGGUGACUGGAUGCCAAUCUCAAAAGCCGGUCGUAGUUCGGAUUGGAGUCUGUAACCCGACUCCAUGAAGUUGGAUUCGCUAGUAAUCGCGCAUCAGCCAUGGCGCGGUGAAUACGUUCCCG